AGAGCGAACGCUGGCGGCAGGCUUAACACAUGCAAGUCGAACGGACUCUUCGGAGUUAGUGGCGGACGGGUGAGUAACACGUGGGAACGUGCCUUUAGGUUCGGAACAACACAGGGAAACUUGUGCUAAUACCGGAUAAGCCUUUCGAGGGAAAGAUUUAUCGCCUUUAGAGCGGCCCGCGUCUGAUUAGCUAGUUGGUGAGGUAAAGGCUCACCAAGGCUACGAUCAGUAGCUGGUCUGAGAGGAUGGCCAGCCACAUUGGGACUGAGACACGGCCCAAACUCCUACGGGAGGCAGCAGUGGGGAAUCUUGCGCAAUGGGCGAAAGCCUGACGCAGCCAUGCCGCGUGGAUGAUGAAGGUCUUAGGAUUGUAAAAUCCUUUCAGCGGGGACGAUAAUGACGGUACCCGCAGAAGAAGCCCCGGCUAACUUCGUGCCAGCAGCCGC
rnacentral:rRNA from 1 species